AUCGGCUUGGUGAAAUGGAAUCACGUCAGUCUCCAAAACUGAAGUCGGGGGAUCAAUACCUCCAGCCGGUGCCA
rnacentral:tRNA from 1 species